rnacentral:lncRNA from 1 species
GCAACAUUUUCUGUGGUAGGGUUUUCUAGAUUUGGAUAGUAAGGUGGGGGUGGAUACAUUGGGUACUGUGAGUAUGGUGGGUAGUAGGGUGGGUAUGGCAUCUGUGUGGGAUAAGGGCUGAAGCUAUGGUAAUCCGAUGUGCCUCCCAUCGAAUACCCGGGGUGUUGUGAGAAGUGUGGGUAGUGGGGUGGCUGAACAAAUCCCGAGGCCUGAGUGCCUCCUUGGGACUCUCCCAUUCCCUCUUCUGACAUACUAACUCCCAAACUGCCAUCCCUCCUCUGCUCUACAUCCAUAUCAUCCCCCAUGUCCUCUGACACUCCUCCCUGAACUGUUCCUCUUACUGAUCUGCUUCUACCCAGAUCCAAAGACCUUCUAGGGUCUCUCACUGC